AAUGUUUGAAUGUGAUAUUUAUUGUCUAGAAUAUGUAAUUAUGAAUGUGUGAAAAUUUCAAGCUUCGAUUUAGCCGAUUGCAUGUGAAUUUAGUCAAUAGGACUUAUGUGCGACAUUUUUGAAAUGUGAUAGGUCGAAGCAUAAGGACCUAUUAGAGCAUGAAAUAAAAAGGGGGGACUUGCAUGUCAAAUUCCCCCCUAACUAGUAGUGGCCGGCCAUGACAAGCAUGGUAGACCAAGUGUGAUGGGCAAGACAUGUCAU
rnacentral:lncRNA from 1 species